GCGUGUGCGUGCGUGUGCUUGUGAGUGUGUGUGUGGGUGUGUGUGGGUGUGUGUUUAAAGGGGCGGGCCAUUUAGUGAUGCAGGUGGCAGAUUUUACCUUUAAAGCUACCUGCCAUACCCAUCACACCUGAUGUCAUCACAUCCUUGCACAAGCUUCCUGAAAGAAAAUAAAUAGACUCUGGUUAGAAAACAAGACUGGUGAGCAGUUUACACCUGCCUCUGUGUUCCUGUCCUUUUCUUCUCUUCAGAUCUACCUGAUUCGUCUCAAUGCCCUACAUCUGGAUAGAGAUCUCUUCAAUAUUAUCGGAUAUUGGAAUUAAUAUCAAAAGUCUGCUACAGUGGCUCAGGAGCACAGUUUACAUGAACAGUUUUGCAUUUAAAUAUCACUGAACCUCAACAAUGAUGGAAGUGUAAUGAAAGGACAUUCAGUGUUGAGGAUGAGGAUGAGGAUGAGGUUCCUUUUUCAAGGUGACAUCUGUCGGAAAAUUCUUGUCUCUCAGACCGAGUGGCUUCUGACUUUAGUUGGGAAAUGCUGUAAAAUAGUCUCUUCAAAAGAAAUCAAGACACUUGGAUGAGUAGAGAAAGUUACAGUUUAUUGUGGCAAACCACAAUCAACCCGAGAGCAUCCGCAUGUCAUGACAGCGAUUGUCUGAUCACACCUUGCAUUUCCUCCGGGUUUUAUACAUUUUUACCCUUAACAUUGAAAACUCCCCAAACCUGCGCCCUCCUGAGUUACCAUCAGUCAUUACUAUUAUUGGGAAUCUUUGGACGUUGAACCUUCCCCCAAAUAUUCUUAUUAUUAUUAACAUUCAAAUAUUCCAACAUUCAAAAGGUUUAUCCUCAUUACCAUUGUCUUAGAGAUUUUUCGAUAGGGUUAGACCACAAAAACGUGGGGGCGUAUACCACUGUUUCACUUCCUUAUUUGACUUUGAUUGGUGGACAGUGCAUGCCCGUGCAAUUUGAUCAUGUUUGAGUACUUUACUCUUUUUCUUAUUUCAUAGAUUAUACUAUUUUAUUAUUUUGUUAGCAAUUUUAGUACUUUGCAUAAGCUCAUUAGUAUUUUUAAAUAUAUCCUUACAUUUAUUACUUUGAUGUUUUUAGUAGGCUGCUUAGGCUUUCCACAGAUGGGGUAGACUGAAGAGGUGUUAUUGCCUUUUUUUCGGUUAUCCCCUUUUAUGGCAUUUAUACCAAACUUCCUUACACAUGAUUUAUUCUGUUUGUGUGUUAUUUCCAUCUGUGUUUGGUGGGGGCCCUUUUUACAUCUAAUGGUUGUUAUGGGCACUGUGAAACCCUACACAUCUCAGAGAGUUUUUCCUUCACCACAGUCACCACUGGCUCACUCAUUACCACUUAUAACAAACUUGUGCCUUCUUUUAUACAACUUUAUAACCUCUUUAUCUCUGUAAAGCUAAUUCGGGGCAAUGCCCAUUAUUAAAAGUGCUCUACAAAUGAAAAUCAAUUCAACUGAAUUAAUUAUUCGCAAAUCUAAUGAUCUAGAUCAGCGGUCCCCAAACCUUUUUUUAGCACCACAGAUUUUAAUGUCAGACAAUAUUUUCACGACCGGCCUUUAAGAGAGCCUUAUAAAUACAACAAAUUAAAAUGAUACGAGCAUAAAAAC